rnacentral:pre_miRNA from 1 species
CAACUACUCCCUUUGUCCCAAAUUUCUUAUCUUAGAUUUGUCUAGAUACGGAUGUAUCUAAUACUAAAAUGUGACUUGAUACAUCCGUAUCUAGACAAAUCUAAGACAAGAAUUUUGGGACGGAGGGAGUACUUU